AUAUUAACUGAACAAUGAAAAGAAGUUUAUGCAACAAACAGCAAUUAGAAAGUAAAUAAGUUGAGUCUGUAGGUAAAAUGUAAAGAAGUUUACAGCACUUACCGAAGGAGGAAGGAAGGAGGAAGAAAGACUUGGUAGUGGGGGGGCUGGCGGAGAAGGGGUUCUUUGGAAGGCAUGGCCUUCUUUCCGCACCGUUCAACCAUUUCUCAACAUUUAGGGGGUUCACGGUGAUCUUGCAUCCAAACUUCACUACAAAUAAAGUUAUAUCACAGAAAAUACGUUGAGGGCACAAUAAAAGUAAAUACGUGAGUAGUUCAAAAGGUGUAAAACCAGUGCGUGCGCACAGCCCACUGACGAGUCACGGGACAUGCUUCCUCCUCCUUCCUCCUCCUUCCUCCACUGCGCAGUGUGCUUCGGGUUCAUCCCCACGCGGCAGCCACUCCUCUUCCUUCCAUGUGAUGUUCUCCGACUAGAAACUGCUGUGCCGAGUAAUAAGCUGGUGACUGUGUCUUUGCCUGAAACCAUAAAGUCAAAAUAUUACUUCUUGCAGCAUAUGGCAUUGGGUGAAAACAUGGUCAUACUGAAAAAAAAAGAAGCCACUGUCUGAAAAGCGUGGAACCGUUCAAAGCCGUAACGGCAGUAGGUCAUUACCGAACGUCUGUGUGCGGGCUGCGGGUGUAGCUGAGGGGCCGGGGCAGGAAGAGGCAGCACCCAGGCCUCCUUACAGGGUCUCACUGGGUAACAGUGAGCGGAGUCCUUCCGGCCGCGGGGGAGCCCGGACUGCAGACAAGCCUCCGCACACCCCGCCUCCCGGGCAGGGCCCAGGGCCCAAACUCCCUCCUGUGUUCUCCUUCAGCCGGAUUUGAGGGACUCGGGUGUGUCUGGGCUGAAAGUGUUAGAGCUUCCACCAAGCUGCUGCGGAUGUCCCCAGUGGGCGUUCGCUUGUGACUCUUAAAGAAACAGGCCUGAGGCCCGCUCUGACGGCCAGAGUCAGCUUAAGGGCUUGUUUCGUUCCGGGAGGAAUCGAGUCGCGUUGGGCAGUGAACACCCCCUGGGAGAAAGAACAGGACGCUUCACCUGUGCCCGCUGCUGUGUCCCCGGUUCUUCUGAAAUCUCCCGCACGCCGCGUCUGUUCUUAUUCCCCUGGGCCCGCUGGAAGCCCAGCUAGGGGCAGCCAGGGCCAAAGGGCACGGGCUUCGGGGCUGGCCAGAAGGGCACUCGGCUCCCCCACUUCCUCCCCUGACCACAUUCAAGUCGUCCCUCCCCUCCCGCCACCUCCCGCAACCUUCCUCCGCCCUCGCGUCCUCCUCGGAUGGCAUCACGCACGUUCUCUCUUAGCUGACGUCACCAGGCGCGAGCGUUCAUCCGCAUCUCAUCGGGAAGACUUUCCAGGGCUGGACUUGAACCCUGGAGCGCUCCCGGCACGUGUCUGUCCCUCCAGCGGUUCGGGGACUCUAGGAGACUCUUUCUCUGGCUCUCGCGCUGGCUCCCUGCCGCUGGCGCUCUCCCGGCCGUCGUCACCGUCCCGUCGUCACCGUCCCGGGAGGAGGGCCGGCCCGCAGUCGGCCUGUGGACUGCGGCGUGAGCGCCCGCGAGCUACGAGUCCUCCAACGGGCCCCGUGCUGCCAAGGCUAGUGAAGCCUGAGCGUCCGCUGCUCAGGGACAGAGAGGAGUCAGCUCGACCCGGAGGCCAGAGAGACCCCGGCUCCUCCGGGCCGUGACCUGGGGCCCCCGCCCUGCCCUGCGGCCCGCGGACUGCCCAACCUGACCGUAGGUACCACGCUGGCCGCUCUGCUGCCCCAGGACUCUGAUGCUGGUCGCCGGGAUCUCCUCCGGCACAGGGAGGAACUCCCACCCCAGCUCCAUCGUCGGGCCGGUGACUGAGCCGGGGCGCUGCCCGCGCCCGUGGAGCCUCAGCGGCGGCUUGUUUUAGGAGAAGAGCAGCGGGACUGGGGCUGGGUCGGGAAGCGCCACGGCUUCUGCACAAUAAACUGCCAUUUUUUCGGAAUCCUCCUCACCCCUUCCUCUCAUCUGCAACCUGUCAGAUUUUUUUAUAUGCUAAUCUUUGAUUCCUCUAGAAUUUCUCUCGGUGUUUGGCGAGGGCCUUAGGGAGCCCAGACCCAGAACGCGAGCCUGGUUGAGAACGUGGAGAGACGCAGGUCGCUGGAACUCGCUGUCGUGGGAAACAGCGGCCACUCGCCGCCGAGGCAGAGGGCUCGCGGGCAGCAGCGGCGGCCGCAGGAGGCAGCCCGGAGGAGCCGGCGCCCGUUCUCCUCCCGCUCGGCUCUCCCCCAGCGCCCCCGCGGGCACCACCGGCGGGCAGCCGGCCGGCCGAGAGAGACGCGCUCGGCGUCCCAGCCCAGCGUCGCCGAGCGAGCGCAGGACGGCUCCGAAGCUGAGACAGUAGCCUAGGGAUCCGCACGUGGACCCUCACAUAUUAAAUGACUAUACAUUGGAGAGAGAAGAUCCAAGAUGGCGCCGUGAGUAGUCCUCUUUGUCUCUCCCCCUUCGAGUCUACAAUUAUUUGGACACUUAUCGCUUGACAAAGGAUAUCCAGACAGCAUCUCAGGAUGUCUGAGAGACCCACGCGACUAUACAUCGGAAGGCGGAUGGACUUUCCUCCGGGAGGAUGUGGAAAUAGGUGAAAACUCUCCGACCCCGACGAGCAGCCUAGUACCUGCAAGCGGCUUUCUUCCAACGGACGCCCCCAGAGGAUCUACACACAUCUAGGGCAGGAGCGAGCACACAACAGAGGAGCGACGGUGGAAACAGAAAGGGACUAUACCAGGUCCUCCUCACUACCCAGAUGGCAGCCAAUCUUCAGGGAUUUGAAGCUUGGGUGCACAUAUCAGCAC
ensembl:lncRNA